CCUACGGGAGGCAGCAGUGAGGAAUAUUGGUCAAUGGCCGGAAGUCUGAACCAGCCAUGCCGCGUGAAGGUCAGUGCCCUAUGGGCGUUAAACUUCUGUUGUGCGGGAGCAAUAAUGGUCACGUGUGGCCAGACGAGAGUACCGUACGAAUAAGCAUCGGCUAACUCCGUGCCAGCAGCCGCGGUAAUACGGGUGAUGCAAGCGUUAUCGGGAUUUAUUGGGUUUAAAGGGUGCGUAGGCUGUGGUGGUAGUCAGCGGUGAAAUGCCCCCGCUCAACGGGGUGAAGUGCCAUUGAUACUGCCUUGCUGGAAUGCGGAUGCCGUUGGAGGAAUGUGUGGUGUAGCGGUGAAAUGCAUAGAUAUCACACAGAACACCGAUUGCGAAGGCAUCUAACGAAUCCGCGAUUGACGCUGAUGCACGAAAGCGUGGGUAUCAAACAGGAUUAGAUACCCGAGUAGUC
rnacentral:rRNA from 1 species